rnacentral:rRNA from 1 species
GGUUAAGCGACUAAGCGUACACGGUGGAUGCCCUGGCAGUCAGAGGCGAUGAAGGGCGUGCUAAUCUGCGAUAAGCGCCGGUAAGGUGAUAUGAACCGUUAUAACCGGCGAUACCCGAAUGGGGAAACCCAG